rnacentral:rRNA from 1 species
GACGAACGCUGGCGGCGUGCUUAACACAUGCAAGUCGAACGGAGAACCCCUUCGUUGGUGGUCUGCUGGAGAGGGGAGCGUAACAGUAGGACGACCUUAACCUGCCCUUGGGAUAAGUCCAACUAAUUGGGGCUAAGACUAGUACCUGAUCGGAUCUCCCGCUGCAGGGGGUGGGAAGGGAAGUUUCGGCGGCUGGGGAUGGACUCGCGGCAUAUCAGCUUGUUGGUGGGGUAGUGGCUUACCAAGGCUGUGACGGGUAGCCGGCCUGAGAGGGUGACCGGCCACACUGGGACUGAGACACGGCCCAGACUCCUACGGGAGGCAGCAGUGGGGAAUAUUGCGCAAUGGGCGGAAGCCUGAUGCAGCAACGCCGCGUGCGGGAUGACGGCCUUCGGGUUGUAAACCGCUUUCGGCAGGGACGAAGCGCGAGUGACGGUAACUGGUAAAGAAGCACCGGCUAACUACGUG